rnacentral:tRNA from 1 species
GCAGAUAUAAUUUAACAAAAAUAUUAGAUUGUGAUUCUAAAAAUAGAGGUUAAACCCCUCUUGUCCGCC